GAGAAGGAGCGGGGUACCUUCCCUGGACCCAGAAAGAAAUACCAUUUCUCCACCCCCAAUCUCACACACACCCCUUAGUCGCUCCCUCCAAAUGGUUAUCACAACUGUGUACAAACUGAUACGGUUCUUAGCGGGCCAAGGACUGGAAAUGAACACUGGCGGGGUUAUCAGUGCCGAUCUGUCAGCAGCGAGUCGCGCACUGCUUGUCCCAGGCAGCAGCAGUGAUAUACGUCUUAUUUCUUUGGGCUCACAAAAGGGAUUUCUUUCGACAAGCUGGACAUUGGAAGAAGGCUGCAGGAAGGGAAUUGAACAGGAGAAACACUCUUGUGGGAGUGGAUUCUUACAGGAAUAUCCCAGUCACUGUGGCUUCGGCGUGGCUGCAUUUCUGAAAGUAGAAAACUCUGGAAUGGAGAGACUAGCAGCUGGAACAGGAUUCGAAGGCUUUAAAUUUUAACCCGAGUUCGAUCGAAAGUUACUACCACAAGAGACUGGCACGGGCCGGCCCAAUUCCCACCACGGCUUCCAGCGGCUUGCUUUGGGUUGUCCGGAUCAGAGAAGCACUCCAUAUCCCCUUGGGGUCAUGAGCAGAACAGUCUGAACCCCCGCAGAUGUGAUAGACCUGUGUCUCCGAAUCCCGGAACUGAACCCAGGAAGGGUGUAGACUCUCAAAGCAUUUUCUUUAUUUAGGGCUGGAGGUAGAAGCGAGAAUAUCUCCUGCAUGCUAGCCAAAUGCUCUAUUCCUGAAACACAUACACUACAGGAACAGAUUAUUGAUCAUAGGCCACUCUAGAUUUCUUCAGUCUUGGUUUCUUUCUGGCUCUUCUCUUCCCCCUCCUUCCAAUAUGUAUUUGAAAACAAAAUCCAAACCAGAACAAGAAGAAUCCUGUUCUCUAGCUAAGAAGACAGUGAAAGAGAUGCACAGAGGCAGAGCCCAUAGUGGGGUUUCUCUGUGUAGCCCUGGCUGUCCUGGAACUUGCUCUGUAAACCAAGCUGGCCUCAAACUCUCCUUCCUGAGUCACCAUCCCUGCUCAUCCUUCAAAUUUCAAAGGCCUUCUCAGUGUCAAGAGUUCAGCAUGUACUGAGCCUCUGUGGAAAUGGCAGGGUGAACAGACAGGAGCGCACAAUGACUUGCAGGAUAUAGUCUGAGUGGUCCAACUAUGGAUACCAUACAGCAGCAGCUGAGAGCCUGGUCAUCGUCCACGGUGCUGGAUGUCUCCACAGUCCCAAUCUGGCACCAGAGACAUGGAGGAUUCGUGAAGAACUUCUGGUCCUAAGAGUAUGCUGGAAGCCCAAAGAAGAUGGCUCAAAUAUCAGCCAAGAAUGCGUAGGAUCACCAGAUGGGCUUGCCUACUGGCAUGCAAAGCAGGACUUCCUUCUUUCUCUUCCUCUCAUCACCUGGCUUGCAACCAACUGAAAGACACCGCCCACUUUUGUGGAUUUGCUGUUGUCUUUACAUUGCCUUUUCAGGACAGGGUUUCUCUGUGUAUCCCUGGCUGUCCUGAAACUCUCUACACAGACCAAGCUGGCCUUGAACUCAGAGAUCUGCCUACUUCUGCCUCCCUGAGCACUGGAAUUAAAGGCUUAUGCCACUGUACCCUGCUGAUACCACCAACUUCUGGGAUACAACUUUCUGCUUCAAAUGAUCAGCUCAAGAAAAGUCUUUGGGGGGCUGGUGAGAUGGCUCAGUGGGUAAGAGCACCCGACUGCUCUUCUGAAGGUCCAGAGUUCAAAUC